CUCUUGCAAGCCCUCUUUCACAUGGGUUUUUGUCAUCAUAGAAGUGUGAUGGCUGAUAUUUAUUACCAGGAAAUGUCCUUGUGGAUUUCACAGGGACUUUUGUUGAUGUGAUCAUGUGGAAGGGUUUCUGGUGAGAUGGAUGGUGUGAAAAAGGUUUGAUUGGCAAUUUAAUGCGAGUUUAAGCUCACAUGGGCUAUUUUCUUGGGCCACCAAUGAAAUCUGGCCUGUGUCUUUUCUACCUGAAGAGAAUGAUAUUAAUGCCAUACCUGGUUUGGAACCCAGCUCAGCUGCUCAGGUACUUGUUACAAUUAUACUGCACAAUGUAGAAAAUCUUAUUACCCAUUACUUGAGAGAAAUGCUAUACAUGAAGCAAUGUUUGUUAAAUUUUUUGGUUUAUCCCUAUAUGUAGCCAUUUCAGAAUACAAGUUCCAACCUUUGGCAUUCUUUUAGAUCUUCAUGCCUAUAUCUGUGACAUCCAAUUUCAUGUCUUAGUAGCAGGAUCAUAUUGAUCUUAUAUGCAUAUUUCUGUAUGCACAUAUCUCAAGAUUCUCAUCAUAGUACAAGCACGUUUGCAGAGAGUUGAAAUGCACAUGGUAGAUUGCAGGAGAAAUUGAGGUAUGCUUUACAUUUUUCCUUUAUAUUUGCUCCUUAAUUGCAAUUUACUCGAGGGGGUGCUCCUGGACCAGUGAAUAUUGCUUAUUCUGGUGUGUAUCAGUGGUGGUAUACAAUCGGUUUACGCACUAAUGAAGAUCUUUAUACUGGAGCUCUUUUUCUAUUAUUUCUUUCUGCUAUAUCUUUAAUAGUGGGUUGGUUACACCUACAACCGAAAUGGAAACCAAGCGUUUUGUGGUUCAAAAAUGCCGAAUCUCGUCUCAAUCAUCAUUUUUCAGGACUCUUCGGAGUAAGUUCAUUGGCUUGGACCGGACAUUUAGUCCAUUUCGCUACUGCCAUCUCAUUGAGUUUUAUUUGAGCCCCUGCUAUUUUGUUAGUUUGUUUUGUGCUGUGUUUGAGCAUAGUUUCUCUCUUCAUGAUCUUAAUCUUUUUUCAAAUGUUUCUUUCUGCUUUUUUGGUUGACAUGGAAUAAUAAAUUUGCCAUCAAAAUACUAACAUCCAUUUAUGUAUUAAUGUAACUCUGCCACUGUUUAGAUUUUUGGGUAACUUAUGUGCACAACUUCCCAUGUAUGUGUCAAAAUGCAAAGUUAGUGUCCAUGUAGACAGGUUAUAGUUGGUUUGUGUUUAUUUGAGAUAUUUACAAGAGUCUUCUAUUGGACUGCUGGCUUCAUGUAGCUGUUAAUCUACAGCCUUGUGGUGAGGAUCUUUAUGCAUGUCAAGUCUGGAUGCAGCUGCAGGCUAUUGAUCUUGUAAUGUUUCUUCAAACACGUUGGGAGAGUGAUUGAGGUAAAGUUCACCCUUCCAGUUUUUUUUACUUUUAUUUUAUUGAUCCCAUGUCUUCUUCAUGGUUAAAUCUAAUUUGACAAGUUAUUGUGAUCAAAAGUUUGGAGUAUUAAUCAUUAAUAAUUUUCCCUUCCUAACCAUAUAACUUGUAAUAAGCUCUCAAUUAGAGGUUGAACUAUGACACUAGGCUCAAGAAAAUAUUUUGUUUUUGGAUUGACUAGAAGAUGCCUGCCCAUAUGGCAGGGGCAUUGACAUGGGACAAGGAUAGAAAAUGGCGCAGAUAUGCUGUCACAGGAAAUCCAGAAAAAGUAGGAUAUUGGCACAAUGAGGACGUGAGAGCAUAUAUAGGAGCAAUGUCAUUUCCUCUGAACUACUUAUGUGACCUGGUUAUUUGACUAGAAACAAUAAGAAAAUGCCUUGUUCUUGCCAAAGCUUGCAACAAAUGACAUUGUGUCUUCAGGAUAAUCUACAUUAUGAAAGCAGGAUAAUCCAUUUGUUCUAGUUUUUAAUUUAAGCUAUAUGUGUUCCCUAUGAAAAUGCAUAGGCAUGCGUACAAUACGGAAAUAAAUAUUAUUUUGAAAAUUUUGAGACAUCCCAAGGGUGUUGGAGAAUCAUGUCUAACAUGGAGCGAGAUCCUCAGAAGUUUCCAACUUGACUCCCUUUUUAGAAGCGUAUACAGUAUAGAUGCGCGCACUACCACAUCUUUGGAAGGUUGGACAGAAAUUAAUAACAGAAAUGCUUUGUCAUGAACAUGAUGCCUAGUUAGAAGUGUCCAUUCUAUAUGGUUGCAUCCGUUAUGACCUUUUUGGAAGGAUAGGAAGAACAAUGGAACUGUAUUUUUUGUUAUCAAAGUAGAUUUUUCAGGGAGGUUCCUUUUGCAAAACAAUCGCAAAAUUGGUGGGGCCACCUCCUCCAAAGUGGGAAUGUGCCUUCCCUUUCUGGUUCACUAGGGCUGUUGCCACCUGCUGAGUGCAUGCACUUUUACAUAAAUCCUCUCUGUGUCUCUUUCUAGUAUGACUCUUCCCUUUCCUCUUUCUCUCCACCACAUGGACUUCUAUAGUUGGAGAGACCGAUCCAUUUCUCUUUCUUUUUAUUGUAUCUACCUUGUUAACCCUAUUCCUUUACUUGUGAAGACUAUUCAUCAGGGUUGAUUAUGUAAAAAUUUAAAAAACUUGUGUCAAAGCCAAUAAAAGUCAGGGCUGCAGUUCCUUUAUAAAGCAGUAUAUACAUGGCUAAGUUUGAAUAUAGGUGUAAAUACAGCAUUUAUAAAUAUGGAAAAGCAAUAAAUGGAAAUAUUGGAUAUAGAUGAAACCAAUGUAACUAUGGUUAUUGUUGGCCGGUGCAUGUUUCUUGCCUGCAACUUUGCUCCAGAAAAUCUUCUGGGUGCUAAUUGUUUUGAGGUGGAAGAUAAAUAGGCAUGGGUGUUUUUAAAUCCUUCUUUGAUGCUGAGUUGCAACAAGGAUGUGCUGUGAUCCCCGACAAGUUGUUCUCUUAAUUGCCUAUGCGGGAAAGGAUAUGAGGGGGCAUAUCUUGACCAACCAAAUUGCCUAAGCAAAUCAAGUGUAAGAAUCUAAAAAUUAUACUUUAAUCUGAUAUCACUGCAUGAGACAUUAAGUUCAUCAGGUGGAAUAUAGAGUAAUUUUGUGGAAAACCCUGGAAGGAGCAAAGCAGAAGAGUUUUUGAGGGGGAUGGAGACUUCAGAAAGGAAACGUGUUGCAUUCUUGAAUUUUUGAACUAAGGAGAAAGUGGUUAUAGGAUGUGCUCUUUUUUGGAUUUGUUAGGUUUCGGUUAGUGAAAACAAUAUCUUUUUAUGCAUAAAGUAGUCUUGGUUUUGUCUCUCUGAUACUUAUAAAAAAAACAAAAAGGGAAAAAAAAUUAUUUUUUGGGGGAAAGUUUGAAAAUUCUUGUAGAGUGAAUGGAACCACAUUCAACAAAGAGAAGGAAAGUUUGAACUUUGCAAGAGUGCUCUUGAGGGAGACUGCCCUUGAUUUACCAACAAAACUAUUUUCGGGAAAUUUCGAUUUUUUAAAGUAAAAACCCAAGUCCAAUUUAGGUGCUUUUAAAAGCUUAAAAUAAAAUGAUCUGAUUUUUGCCAAAAUUUUAAAUGGACUUUGUUAGGAUUCUAGCUAUAUCAACCCUAAGGGAAUCAUCCUUUUUUUUUUUUUUUUUAGCCAGGGGUGGGGGGGUGUGUUUUGGAAUUGGGUGAUGAUCACUUUUUGGAAAUUUAACAAUUAUAGGAUGCAAUAAAUGAUAUAAGCUAUGAUAUGAUAAAUAUCAAUAUAAGAGCAAUUGCAAAUAAAUAAUGAGGAAGGAAGAUAAAUUGCAAACUCAAGAUUUUAUGGUGGUUCAGCGCAACCUAGGACUAUCCUUAAGCUCCUAAUUGAGUGAAGGUUCUACUAAUCCAAGACUUCCAACACAAGUCUCUAAGCAUUACAAUUAGAUUAUGGUUCUAAUAAACCCUUUUGGACAUAUGACUUCAAGCACCCUCUACAACAAGACUUUUCAAGACAAAUCUCCAAACUCUUUCCUUUGGAUUAUGAUCUAAAACACCCUCACAAAAUAUAGAUAUGUAGAAAGAUAAUUUCACAAAAUCAUAGUACAAAUUGAAGCUUAAAUGAUAUAAAGAAAAAGUAGAAUUGAGGUGUACUAAUGGAUAUGCAAGUUUUAAAACAAAGUGCACUCAAACAACUCCCCCAAGGCUGAAAUAAUGUUCAUAAAAGAUUUAGAAAUCUCUAUCUAAAACAAAGACAUUUGGAGGCUUUAAAUAGGGUUUAGAAGCCUAAACUAGCCGUUAGGCAGGUUUGAGGGUUGACUAUUGAGCAACCGGUUCACUAGCCAUUAGCAUUAAAUGCUUUGGCAAGUGACUAUUGGAGGUUAGAACUUCAACUGGAACUUGACCAGUCUUCAACUGGUCGAGGCUUAACCUCAAUCAACUAGACAUAUGCUACUGGAAGUGAGGGGGUGCAAAAUGCACCUUGAUCAGUUGAAUUCUUGGGCCCUUAAUCGGUUGCACUAUAAAGUGCUUAAACAACCCUGUUUGAGGUUUGGAACGUCCAACAAUUUAUGUGUAGCUUCUUGAAACCUUUUAAGAGAAGUUUAGAAAGAAUUGGGUUCAAUGUUUUAACAAAAACAUGAAAUCAUCCAAUUUGUAAAAUAAUUGAAAA